rnacentral:rRNA from 1 species
GAUGAACGCUGGCGGCGUGCCUAAUACAUGCAAGUCGAGCGAACAGACGAGGAGCUUGCUCCUCUGACGUUAGCGGCGGACGGGUGAGUAACACGUGGAUAACCUACCUAUAAGACUGGGAUAACUUCGGGAAACCGGAGCUAAUACCGGAUAAUAUAUUGAACCGCAUGGUUCAAUAGUGAAAGACGGUUUUGCUGUCACUUAUAGAUGUAUCCGCGCCGCAUUAGCUAGUUGGUAUGGUAACGGCUUACCAAGGCAACGAUGCGUAGCCGACCUGAGAGGGUGAUCGGCCACACUGGAACUGAGACACGGUCCAGACUCCUACGGGAGGCAGCAGUAGGGAAUCUUCCGCAAUGGGCGAAAGCCUGACGGAGCAACGCCGCGUGAGUGAUGAAGGUCUUCGGAUCGUAAAACUCUGUUAUUAGGGAAGAACAAAUGUGUAAGUAACUAUGCACGUCUUGACGGUACCUAAUCAGAAAGCCACGGCUAACUACGUG